rnacentral:rRNA from 1 species
ACCAGACUCCUUCGGAGGCAGCAGUGGGGAAUAUUGCACAAUGGGCGCAAGCCUGAUGCAGCCAUGCCGCGUGUGUGAAGAAGGCCUUCGGGUUGUAAAGCACUUUCAGCGAGGAGGAAGGUGGUGAACUUAAUACGUUCAUCAAUUGACGUUACUCGCAGAAGAAGCACCGGCUAACUCCGUGCCAGCAGCCGCGGUAAUACGGAGGGUGCAAGCGUUAAUCGGAAUUACUGGGCGUAAAGCGCACGCAGGCGGUUUGUUAAGUCAGAUGUGAAAUCCCCGGGCUCAACCUGGGAACUGCAUUUGAAACUGGCAAGCUAGAGUCUCGUAGAGGGGGGUAGAAUUCCAGGUGUAGCGGUGAAAUGCGUAGAGAUCUGGAGGAAUACCGGUGGCGAAGGCGGCCCCCUGGACGAAGACUGACGCUCAGGUGCGAAAGCGUGGGGAGCAAACAGGAUUAGAUACUC